ACAGAGGUUGCGAGCGUUGUUCGGAAUUAUUGGGCGUAAAGCGCGUGUAGGCGGGAUGGCAAGUCGGGUGUGAAAGCCCUCAGCUCAACUGAGGAAGUGCGCCCGAAACUACUGUUCUUGAGUGCCGGAGAGGGUGGCGGAAUUCCCGGUGUAGAGGUGAAAUUCGUAGAUAUUGGGAGGAAUACCGGUGGCGAAGGCGGCAUCCUGGACCGACAUUGACACUGAACGGCGAAAGCUAGGGGAGCAAACG
rnacentral:rRNA from 1 species